rnacentral:rRNA from 1 species
AAAUUGAAGAGUUUGAUCAUGGCUCAGAUUGAACGCUGGCGGCAGGCCUAACACAUGCAAGUCGAGCGGUAGCACAGAGAGCUUGCUCUCGGGUGACGAGCGGCGGACGGGUGAGUAAUGUCUGGGAAACUGCCUGAUGGAGGGGGAUAACUACUGGAAACGGUAGCUAAUACCGCAUAAUGUCGCAAGACCAAAGUGGGGGACCUUCGGGCCUCAUGCCAUCAGAUGUGCCCAGAUGGGAUUAGCUAGUAGGUGGGGUAACGGCUCACCUAGGCGACGAUCCCUAGCUGGUCUGAGAGGAUGACCAGCCACACUGGAACUGAGACACGGUCCAGACUCCUACGGGAGGCAGCAGUGGGGAAUAUUGCACAAUGGGCGCAAGCCUGAUGCAGCCAUGCCGCGUGUGUGAAGAAGGCCUUCGGGUUGUAAAGCACUUUCAGCGGGGAGGAAGGCGGUGA